rnacentral:rRNA from 1 species
GUCAAGAAUGACUCUCGGCAACGGAUAUCUCGGCUCUUGCAUCGAUGAAGAACGUAGCGAAAUGCGAUACUUGGUGUGAAUUGCAGAAUCCCGUGAACCAUCGAGUCUUUGAACGCAAGUUGCGCCCGAAGCCAUUAGGCCGAGGGCACGCCUGCCUGGGUGUCACUAA